rnacentral:rRNA from 1 species
UGCAGUCGAACGCGUUGGCCCAAUUGAUUGAUGGUGCUUGCACCUGAUUGAUUUUGGUCGCCAACGAGUGGCGGACGGGUGAGUAACACGUAGGUAACCUGCCCAGAAGCGGGGGACAACAUUUGGAAACAGAUGCUAAUACCGCAUAACAGCGUUGUUCGCAUGAACAACGCUUAAAAGAUGGCUUCUCGCUAUCACUUCUGGAUGGACCUGCGGUGCAUUAGCUUGUUGGUGGGGUAAUGGCCUACCAAGGCGAUGAUGCAUAGCCGAGUUGAGAGACUGAUCGGCCACAAUGGGACUGAGACACGGCCCAUACUCCUACGGGAGGCAGCAGUAGGGAAUCUUCCACAAUGGGCGCAAGCCUGAUGGAGCAACACCGCGUGAGUGAAGAAGGGUUUCGGCUCGUAAAGCUCUGUUGUUAAAGAAGAACACGUAUGAGAGUAACUGUUCAUACGUUGACGGUAUUUAACCAGAAAGUCACGGCUAACUACGUGCCAGCAGCCGCGGUAAUACGUAGGUGGCAAGCGUUAUCCGGAUUUAUUGGGCGUAAAGAGAGUGCAGGCGGUUUUCUAAGUCUGAUGUGAAAGCCUUCGGCUUAACCGGAGAAGUGCAUCGGAAACUGGAUAACUUGAGUGCAGAAGAGGGUAGUGGAACUCCAUGUGUAGCGGUGGAAUGCGUAGAUAUAUGGAAGAACACCAGUGGCGAAGGCGGCUACCUGGUCUGCAACUGACGCUGAGACUCGAAAGCAUGGGUAGCGAACAGGAUUAGAUACCCUGGUAGUCCAUGCCGUAAACGAUGAGUGCUAGGUGUUGGAGGGUUUCCGCCCUUCAGUGCCGGAGCUAACGCAUUAAGCACUCCGCCUGGGGAGUACGACCGCAAGGUUGAAACUCAAAGGAAUUGACGGGGGCCCGCACAAGCGGUGGAGCAUGUGGUUUAAUUCGAAGCUACGCGAAGAACCUUACCAGGCCUUGACAUCUUGCGCCAACCCUAGAGAUAGGGCGUUUCCUUCGGGAACGCAAUGACAGGUGGUGCAUGGUCGUCGUCAGCUCGUGUCGUGAGAUGUUGGGUUAAGUCCCGCAACGAGCGCAACCCUUGUUACUAGUUGCCAGCAUUAAGUUGGGCACUCUAGUGAGACUGCCGGUGACAAACCGGAGGAAGGUGGGGACGACGUCAGAUCAUCAUGCCCCUUAUGACCUGGGCUACACACGUGCUACAAUGGACGGUACAACGAGUCGCGAACUCGCGAGGGCAAGCAAAUCUCUUAAAACCGUUCUCAGUUCGGACUGCAGGCUGCAACUCGCCUGCACGAAGUCGGAAUCGCUAGUAAUCGCGGAUCAGCAUGCCGCGGUGAAUACGUUCCCGGGCCUUGUACACACCGCCCGUCACACCAUGAGAGUUUGUAACACCCAAAGUCGGUGGGGUA